UGGUGGAGUGAUUUGUCUGGUUAAUUCCGUUAACGAACGAGACCUCGGCCUGCUAACUAGUUACGCGAAGGCUCUGCUUUGGCGGCCAACUUCUUAGAGGGACUAUCGGCGUCUAGCCGAUGGAAGUUCGAGGCAAUAACA
rnacentral:rRNA from 1 species